GGGGUUGUGGCUCAGUGGUAGAGUGCUCCCCUAACAUGUGUGAGGCACUGGAUUCAAUCCUCAGCACCACA
rnacentral:tRNA from 1 species